rnacentral:rRNA from 1 species
CUUGGUCAUUUAGAGGAAGUAAAACUCGUAACAGGGUUUCCGUAGGUGAACCUGCGGAAGGAUCAUUACAGGAAGUAAACGCGGAUCAAACCGCGAACUUUUAAACCUUUGACGAUUGACUCAUGUUGCCUCGGCGGGUUCUCCCGCCAGAGGAUACAUCAAAACUCCUGUUUUAACGGUGUUGUCUGAGCUACAAGCAACGAAUCAAAACUUUCAACAACGGAUCUCUUGGUUCUGGCAUCGAUGAAGAACGCAGCGAAAUGCGAUAAGUAGUGUGAAUUGCAGAAUUCAGUGAAUCAUCGAAUCUUUGAACGCACAUUGCGCCCCUUGGUAUCCCGAGGGGCAUGCCUGUUCGAGCGUCAUUUCACCACUCAAGCCUGGCUUGGUGUUGGGCGACGUCCCCUUUAGGGACGCGCCUCGAAACGCUCGGCGGCGUGGCACCGGCUUUAAGCGUAGCAGAAUCUUUCGCUUUGAAAGUCGGGGCCCCGUCUGCCGGAAGACCUACUCGCAAGGUUGACCUCGGAUCAGGCACGGAUACCCGCUGAACUUAA